CCUGGCUCAGGACGAACGCUGGCGGCGUGCUUCCCCCCUUCCCUUCUAACGGUGAAGGGAUCAGCUUGCUGGUUCUGGAUGAGUGGCGAACGGGUGAGUAACACGUGAGUAACCUGCCCCCUUCUUCUGGAUAACCGCAUGAAAGUGUGGCUAAUACGGGAUAUUCUGGGUCUGUCGCAUGAUGGGUCUGGGAAAGAUAUUGUUUCGGUGGGGGAUGGGCUCGCGGCCUAUCAGCUUGUUGGUGGGGUGAUGGCCUACCAAGGCGGUGACGGGUAGCCGGCCUGAGAGGGUGGACGGUCACACUGGGACUGAGACACGGCCCAGACUCCUACGG
rnacentral:rRNA from 1 species